rnacentral:rRNA from 1 species
GACGAACGCUGGCGGCGUGCCUAAUACAUGCAAGUCGAACGCAGUGGGGACGGGUGAGUAACACGUGGGUAACCUCCCAUCAGAGGGGAUAACACUUGGAAACAGGUGCUAAACCGAUACUGAUGGAUGGACCCGCGGUGCAUUAGCUAGUUGGUUAGGUAACGGCUCACCAAGGCCACGAGCCAUAGCGAAUCGGAGAGGGCGAUCAGUCACACUGGGACUGAGACACGGUCCAGACUCCUACGGGAGGCAGCAGUAGGGAAUAUUGCACAAUGGCCGAAAGCCUGAUCCAGUCAUGCCGCGUGUGUGAAGUAGGUCUUCGGAUUGUAAAGCUCUUUCAGUUGAGAGGCGUUACCAACAGAACAAGCACCGGCGAACUUCGUGCCAGCAGCCGCGGUAAUUC